ACAACAGGAGGUGCACCAGGAAUCCUUCCCAAAUUAAAAUGUUGUCACAUGCUUUUAUAGUGUAAAACGUGUUACACAUGUAGGCUUCUAGAAACGCAGCACAUUCUGCACAUGCUUGUAGACGUGGAGUCCGAUCCACACUUCACGAACACACUUUAAGCACCGACUAAGGAUGGUGAAGUCUAUAAAGCUCACCUUGGAUGCACCGUGUAUGCACUUUUGGAUGAUAUAAGAAAACUCUGCUGAAAUGUUCAGCCAUUUCUUGUUCCCGAAAGUCUCUCCAUGGCUUACUUUCUCCCUUGCAACUUCCUUCCUUGUGUGGAAGGCCUUCUGAGUUGUAACCAUCACUCUAAGCCUAUCCUCCACUCCAAAUAGCCUCUACAUAUCACCAAUCUCCGCUGCCAUCUCCCACAUUCCUCCGUUUACAAUCACUUCUCUACAACUGUCACGGAUCUAUAGCUGGAACUACCAUAGCCGGUACUGUUCCAUUGAUUUUCAGUUGUUGCGUUGCUUCUCCAAGCUUCUAAUCUCACGAAUCUG
rnacentral:lncRNA from 1 species